GACGAACGCUGGCGGCGUGCUUAACACAUGCAAGUCGAACGGUGAAGGGGUCUGCUUUUGUGGGCCCUGGAUGAGUGGCGAACGGGUGAGUAACACGUGAGUAACCUGCCCCCUUCUUCUGGAUAACCGCAUGAAAGUGUGGCUAAUACGGGAUAUUCUGGGUCUGUCGCAUGAUGGGUCUGGGAAAGAUUGCGCCUUUGGGUGUUUUUGGUGGGGGAUGGGCUCGCGGCCUAUCAGCUUGUUGGUGGGGUGAUGGCCUACCAAGGCGGUGACGGGUAGCCGGACUGAGAGGGUGGACGGUCACACUGGGACUGAGACACGGCCCAGACUCCUACGGGAGGCAGCAGUGGGGAAUAUUGCACAAUGGGCGCAAGCCUGAUGCAGCGACGCCGCGUGAGGGAUGGAGGCCUUCGGGUUGUAAACCUCUUUCGCCAGUGAAGCAGGCCUGCUCCUUGUGGGUGGGUUGACGGUAGCUGGAGAAGAAGCGCCGGCUAACUACGUG
rnacentral:rRNA from 1 species